CAAGGACCAUCAUUUGAGACUUGCCAUCCGACGACUGUUCAACGUGGGUGCGCCAUAGGAUACAGCCUAGAAGCCCAUGUUUGCCGCCUAUUGAUCGAGCUAGAUGUUGUCAGACUCACAGCACCGCUAUCUCGAUGAUUUUACGGCGGCCCUUCGGGCUACACCAGUAACUUUCCUCCUUCUUCCCCGUAGGCAUGGAAUGCGUUUCAUCAAGGCCGGUACAAACUCAGAUAUUCCAUCUUGAAUGCGUUCGCCUGCACUACCAGACUUACCUUGAGGCGCGAGGUGUGUGGGACGAGGAUCGAAAGAACAAGCUCACUAGAUUUUAUGAAGGUGUGAUGACGACCGGCUAGCCUUGUAGAUUCAGGGUAGUAAUAUGGUCUCUGUCUCAAAGGGUUGCCACUAGCAUAGACCAGGGGCCCUGCAGGCAUGUAGUUAAACCAGUUCCCACUUGGCUUCCGUCAGCCUGGUAACGUGAUAAGAUAGGCUGGGGAUUUGGUGCCAAUUCUCCAUGUAUCUAUCUGAUGGAAGAGAUGACAAGGCUCAAAGAGCAGCGCUACGUGCUAACUACCCACUGAAGUUUAUGUAUCAUUUAGUUCAAUGUGUCGUAGUUAUAGGGUUGCUGCCUCUCAUAUUACACUAUCUUCUGCCAUAUUGCCUUUAACUAUAAGUUGUAGAUAAGA
rnacentral:sRNA from 2 species